rnacentral:rRNA from 1 species
AUGAACGCUAGCGGCAGGCUUAACACAUGCAAGUCGAGGGGCAGCACAGGUAGCAAUACUGGGUGGCGACCGGCGCAAGGGUGCGUAACGCGUGAGCAACAUGCCCGUAUCAGGGGGAUAAUCCAUGGAAACGUGGUCUAAUACCCCAUAGUAAGUUUUUGAGGCAUCUCAAGGAUUUUAAAGCUUUGGUGGAUACGGAUUGGCUCGCGUGACAUUAGCUGGAUGGUAGGGUAACGGCUUACCAUGGCUACGAUGUCUAGGGGUUCUGAGAGGAAGGUCCCCCACACUGGAACUGAGACACGGUCCAGACUCCUACGGGAGGCAGCAGUGAGGAAUAUUGGACAAUGGAUGGAAAUCUGAUCCAGCCAUGCCGCGUGCAGGAAGACGGCCCUAUGGGUUGUAAACUGCUUUUGUAUGGGAGCAAUAAGAUCUACGUGUAGAUUGAUGAGAGUACCAUACGAAUAAGCACCGGCUAACUCCGUG